CUACUCAUAAUGAUAUGCACAAUUAGAUGAAAUCUUUUGUCUAAUUGUGUCUCUCACUUAUUUGGUGAAUUCUAUAGCCCUCGAGUAUGAAAAAUAAGAAAUUUUGUCGUCAAGAUUUUUAGUGAGUUUGAGAUCCUAAUUCCUCAUAAAAAAUCUUGUGGAUAGCAUAAUAAAAUUUUAUGAGUUUAACAGUAGGUAACUCUUACUAAUUACAUCUCAUGCAACUUCCAACAAAAUUUUUGUCAUUAAAAUACUUGUAGCUGAAGGGACC
rnacentral:lncRNA from 1 species